AAAGCAGGCCGGAUCGUCGCUGCCGCGGCAACGCGGGAGAGGAAAGUCCGGGCUCCACAGGGCAGGAUGCCGGCUAACGGCCGGGCGGCGUGAGCCGACGGACAGUGCAACAGAGAGCAGACCGCCGAUGGCCGGGGCAACCCGGAUCAGGCAAGGGUGAAACGGUGCGGUAAGAGCGCACCAGCGUCCCGGGCAACCGGGCGGCUCGGUAAACCCCAUCCGGAGCAAGACCAAGCAGCAGGCGUCGAAGCGGCCCGCCGAGCCUGCGGGUAGGUUGCUUGAGCGUGCCGGCAACGGUACGCCUAGAGGAAUGACGGUCGCCCCCGCAAGGGGGAACAGAACCCGGCUUACAGGCCAGCUUUGCCA
rnacentral:RNase_P_RNA from 1 species